GCGCACGUGGCGGAAUUGGCAGACGCGCUAGAUUCAGGUUCUAGUGAGUAACAUCGUGCAGGUUCAAGUCCUGCCGUGCGCACCA
rnacentral:tRNA from 2 species